UACGAGGGGGGCUAAUGUUGUUCGGAAUCACUGGGCGUAAAGGGAGCGUAGGCGGGUGUUUAAGUUAGGUGUUUAAUCCCAGGGCCCAACCCUGGUCAGGCACCUAAAACUGGACAUCUUGAAUAGUGGAGAGGACGAUGGAAUUGGGGGUGUAGCGGUGGAAUGCGUAGAGAUCUCCAAGAACACCAGUUGCGAAGGCGGCUGACUGGACCCAUAUUGACGCUGAGGCUCGAAAGCAUGGGGAGCAAACAGG
rnacentral:rRNA from 1 species